rnacentral:rRNA from 1 species
UACGGAGGGGGCUAGCGUUGUUCGGAAUCACUGGGCGUAAAGGGCGCGUAGGCGGCUUUAUAAGUCGGGGGUGAAAGCCUGUGGCUCAACCACAGAAUUGCCUUCGAUACUGUAGAGCUUGAGACCGGAAGAGGUAAGUGGAACUGCGAGUGUAGAGGUGAAAUUCGUAGAUAUUCGCAAGAACACCAGUGGCGAAGGCGGCUUACUGGUCCGGUUCUGACGCUGAGGCGCAAAAGCCAGGGGAGCAAACGGG